rnacentral:rRNA from 1 species
AUUGAACGCUGGCGGCAGGCCUAACACAUGCAAGUCGGGCGAGCCGCGGACAGGUGAGUAAUGUAUGUGGACUGCCUGAUGGCGGGGGAUCACUACUGGAAACGGUAGCUCAUAACGCAUACCAUCAAAUAACCCAUAUGGGAUUGGCUUGUAGGUGAGGUAACGGCUCACCUGGGGGACGAUCCCUAGCUGGUCUGAGAGGAUGAUCAGCAACACUGGGACUUAGACACGGGCCAGACUCCUACGGAGGCAGCAGUGGGGAAUAUGGCACAAUGGGCGCAAGCCUGAUGCAGCCAUGCCGCGUGUAUGAAGAAGGCCUUCGGGUUGUAAAGUACUUUCAGUCGGGAGGCGUUACCGACAGAAGAAGCACCGGCUAACUCCGUGCCAGCCGCCGCGGUAAUAC